GACACUGGAUUAAGCUAAUUGUGAUAUAGCGCGCUGGCCUGCUAAGCCAGUUCCUUCGGGAGCGUGAGUUCGAAUCUCACAGGUGUCG
rnacentral:tRNA from 1 species